rnacentral:rRNA from 1 species
AACGAACGCUGGCGGCAUGCCUAACACAUGCAAGUCGAACGGGAUCCUAGCUUGCUAGGUGAGAGUGGCGGACGGGUGAGUAACACGUGGGAAUCUGCCUUUUGGUUCGGGAUAACCGCGGGAAACUGCGGCUAAUACCGAAUGCCCUCGAGAGAGGAAAGAUUUAUCGCCAGAAGAGGAGCCCGCGUCCGAUUAGGUAGUUGGUGGGGUAAAGGCCUACCAAGCCGACGAUCGGUAGCUGGUCUGAGAGGAUGAUCAGCCACACUGGGACUGAGAUACGGCCCAGACUCCUACGGGAGGCAGCAGUGGGGAAUAUUGGACAAUGGGGGCAACCCUAAUCCAGCAAUGCCGCGUGAGUGAUGAAGGCCUUAGGGUUGUAAAGCUCUUUUGCCAGGGAAGAUGAUGACUGUACUUGGAGAAUAAGCCCCGGCUAACUUCGUGCCAGCAGCCGCGGUAAU